CCUACGGGUGGCAGCAGUGAGGAAUAUUGGUCAAUGGACGAGAGUCUGAACCAGCCAAGUAGCGUGAAGGAUGACUGCCCUAUGGGUUGUCAACUUCUUUUAUAAAGGAAUAAAACGAGGCACGUCUGCCUUUUUGCAUGUACUUUAUGAAUAAGGAUCGGCUAACUACGUGCCAGCAGCCGCGGUAAUACGGAGGAUUCGAGCGUUAUCCGGAUUUAUUGGGUUUAAAGGGAGCGUAGAUGGGUCGUUAAGUCAGGUGGGAAAGUUUGCGGCUCCACCGUAAGAUUGCAAUUGAUAAUGGCAGUCUUGAGUACAGUUGAGGUAGGCGGAAUUCGUGGUGUAGCGGUGAAAUGCUUAGAUAUCACGAAGAACCACGAUUGCGAAGGCAGCUUACUAAACUGUGACUGACAUUGAUGCUCGAAAGUGUGGGUAUCAAACAGGAUUAGAUACCCGGGUAGUC
rnacentral:rRNA from 1 species